GACGAACGCUGGCGGCGUGCCUAAUACAUGCAAGUAGAACGCAGUUGCGAACGGGUGAGUAACGCGUAGGUAACUGCCUGGUCACGGGGGAUAACUAUUGGAAACGAUAGCUAAUACCGCAUACUACCAGAUGGACCUGCGUUGUAUUAUCUUGUUGGUGGGGUAACGGCUCACCAAGGCACAGAUACAUAGCCGACCUGAGAGGGUGAUCGGCCACACUGGGAAUGAGACACGGCCCAGACUCCUACGGGAGGCAGCAGUAGGGAAUGUUCGGCAAUGGGCGGAAGUCUGACCGAGCAACGCCGCGUGAGUGAAGAAGGUUUUCGGAUCGUAAAGCGCGGUUGUGAGGGAAGCGGUAUCUUACCAGAAAGGGACGGCUAACUACGUGCCAGCAGCCGCGGUAAUUC
rnacentral:rRNA from 1 species